rnacentral:rRNA from 1 species
GACGAACGCUGGCGGCGUGCUUAACACAUGCAAGUCGAACGGUAAGGCCCUUCGGGGUACACGAGUGGCGAACGGGUGAGUAACACGUGGGUGAUCUGCCCUGCACUUCGGGAUAAGCCUGGGAAACUGGGUCUAAUACCGGAGAGGACCACUGCCUGCAUGGGUGGUGGUGGAAAGCUUUUGCGGUGUGGGAUGGGCCCGCGGCCUAUAAGCUUGGUGGUGGGGUGAUGGCCUACCAAGGCGACGACGGGUAGCCGGCCUGAGAGGGUGACCGGCCACACUGGGACUGAGAUACGGCCCAGACUCCUACGGGAGGCAGCAGUGGGGAAUAUUGCACAAUGGGCGCAAGCCUGAUGCAGCGACGCCGCGUGAGGGAUGACGGCCUUCGGGUUGUAAACCUCUUUCAGCACCGACGAAGCGCAAGUGACGGUAGGUGCAGAAGAAGGACCGGCCAACUACGUGCCAGCCGCCGCGGAAA